rnacentral:rRNA from 1 species
UACGUAGGGUGCGAGCGUUGUCCGGAAUUAUUGGGCGUAAAGAGCUCGUAGGCGGUGUGUCGCAUCGGUCGUGAAAACUUGGGGCUUAACCCUGAGCUUGCGGUCGAUACGGGCAUCACUGGAGUUCGGCAGGGGAGACUGGAAUUCCUGGUGUAGCGGUGAAAUGCGCAGAUAUCAGGAGGAACACCGGUGGCGAAGGCGGGUCUCUGGGCCGAUACUGACGCUGAGGAGCGAAAGCGUGGGGAGCGAACAGG